UCUUUUUUCUCUCCACAGGCAUCCAUGGAUUUGCCGCCAGACAAAGCCAAACUCCUGAAACAAUACGACGACGUCAAAAAGUGGGACAUGAUAUGCGACCAGGAGCGGGUGAGCGCGAAGGACCCGCCCUCGCACUACCUCAACAAGCUCAAGACCUACCUUGAUCCUAAGGCUUCCAGGUCAAGCAGGAAACGCAAAAUGGUCGGUGAGUCUACAUCUACACAAGUUUUAAGGGAUCUAGAGAUCUCCCUUAGAACAAACCACAUCGAGUGGGUCCGGGAGUUCUUGAGUGAAGAAAACCAAGGACUAGAUGUUCUAGUGGACUAUUUAACCUUUAGACUCAUGAUGCUCAGACAUGAGCAGAGAUUACGAGAGAGUCUAGAAGAUGAAGAGGAAUCGAAAAACAUAAACGGUCAACUGAAACCAUCAGUUGAAAUUAACUCCCCACGAAUGAAACGAGCGUCACGACAUGUACAGAAGCUAAACAUGGGAGAUUCGAAGGAUGACAUCCAUGUCUGCAUCAUGUGCUUGAGGGCUAUCAUGAACAACAAAUAUGGAUUCAACCUAGUUUUCGAACAUCGAGAAGCCAUCAGUUGUAUUGCACUAAGUCUUAAUCAUAGGAGUUUAAGGACAAAGGCACUAGUCCUAGAGCUCUUAGCAGCCAUCUGUUUAGUGAAGGGAGGACAUGAAAUCAUUCUCAAUGCUUUCAAUAACUUCAAGGAUGUCUGCUCUGAGACACAACGUUUCCAGACACUCAUGAAUUAUUUCUCAAACUAUGACUGUUUUUACAUUGAAUUCAUGGUGGCAUGUAUGCAGUUCAUCAACAUUGUGGUACACAGUGUAGAGGACAUGAACUUCCGUGUACAUCUGCAGUAUGAAUUCACACAGCUAGGCCUUGAUGACUACCUGGAGAAGCUAAGACACCACGAAAGCGAAGAAUUACAGAUUCAAAUUUCUGCAUACCUCGAUAAUGUUUUUGAUGUUGCUGCGCUCAUGGAAGACAGCGAAACAAAGACGGCAGCACUGGAAAGGGUGGCAGAGCUGGAAGAUGAACUCUCACACUUGGCAGAGAGGAUGUCUGAAAUGGAAGCAGAAUCACUUGCUAAACUAGUGGAACUGGAAGGAGAGUUGGUAGAGUUACGCAGGCAAAAAGAGGAAUUGGAAAACGUUAAUAGCCAGGUUCAAGAGGAAGUAUCAACUCUACGAAGGGAAGUGAACCAGAAGAGUGAGGAGUCACGGCAAAGACAGUCAUUAUUGGAGAAGCAGAUUGUAGAACUCGAAACACUUGCUCGCUCAAAAUCUCAUAAAACCAGUGGCGAUAUCUUUGAUGGGCCAGGGCCAGCUCCUCCACCCCCACCACCACCACCUCCCCCCAGUGUUGGGAUGGCUCCCGCUCCACCACCACCACCACUUCCAGGUACUGGUGGUUGUCCACCUGCACCUCCCAAAUUACCAUUUGGUAUGGUGAGUGGCCCCAGACCCCCUCCACCCAUACCUCCUUCCAUGGCAGCUGCUGUCAUGUCUCCUCCUGACUCCAUGACCAUCAAGAAGAAGGUCAACACCAAAUACAAGCUUCCGACACUCAACUGGGUGGCAUUGAAACCUAACCAGGUGAGAGGGACGGUCUUCAACGAACUAGACGAUGAGAAGCUCUUUAACUGCAUAGACUUCUCUGACUUCGAAGAGCACUUUAAGAUUGGCCAAGGGGGCCCAGGAAUGGCCAAUGGGGAUGUUUCAGAGGUCGACGCACUCCAUGGAUUUGGGAGCAAGAGAUUCAAGAAGCCUGAAUUAACCUCCUUGAUGGAACACACACGGUUGAGAAAUAUUGCCAUCUCCAGGCGAAAACUGGAUCUGCCAUUUGACAUAGUUAGCAGAGCCAUCAAUUCGUUAGACUUAAAGACGCUGAGUGUAGAGAGUGUGGAACUCCUUCAGCGCAUGAUACCCAAUGAUUCAGAGGUCAAGGCGUAUCGUGAGUACGAACGUGAUCGGAAACCUGUGAACCAGCUGACAGAUGAAGACCAGUACAUGCUCCAGCUCAGCAAGGUGGACAGACUGAGUACCAAACUACAGAUUAUGAGCUUUAUUGCCAACUUCUUUGACAGUGUACAUACUGUCACUCCACAAGUUCAUGCAAUCAUCACAGCAUCGCGCUCAGUUAGAAAUAGUAACAAGUUGAAAAAAGUACUUGAAGUAAUUCUUGCUUUUGGUAACUACAUGAAUAGCAGCAAACGUGGUCCAGCGUAUGGCUUCAAACUUUCGAGUCUGGAUACUUUGUGUGAUACAAAGUCAGCGGACAAAAAGAUGAGUGUGAUGCAUUACAUUCAGGAAACCAUGAGAGCGAAGUUCCCAGAUAUCACUAAUUUCGACGCAGAACUAAGGUUUAUUGAAAAGGCUGCACAGGUAUCACUGGAGAAUAUUAUCACAGAUGUCAGUGAACUAGAAAAGGGUAUGGAGCAAGCAAAGAAGGAAUAUGAACGGGGAAGAGACAUGAGGAGUGUGGAGGGACAGGCUGCAUCUAGUGUGCUCAAGGAUUUCUUGAGUAAUUCAGAGGAAAAGUUGAAAAAGUUGAAAGCGGAGGCCAAGACAGCACAAGCGGCCUUUGCAGAAGUGUUAGAGUACUAUGGAGAGAGCUCAAGAAGUAUGGCUCCUAACACCUUCUUUGCCAUUUUUGUCCGUUUCACCAAAACUUAUAAGAUGGUGGAGCAAGAGAAUGAGCAGCGGCGCCGAUUAGAGGCUGCCUCCAAAGCAGCAGCUCUGAACCAACAGAAGCAACAACAGCAGCAGCAAGAAAGUCAGCAGGUGGUUAGAAACAACAAAAUCAAUGCACGUAAACAACAGAAAUUCCGAAUGGGAGUCCGCAUCACAAGUGUAUAAAAGAGCUACAUCCGUCCACAUGCUCUGUCUGUUUACCCCCAUGGUCGCCAGGUGAAUGCAACGCUCUGUGCAAAUACAGGAGGCGCUGAUGAGUGAAAUGAAGGCGCGUGGUGUGGUUGCAGAUAAACGCCUUCUUUCUCAAGAGGACGUUUACCAUGGAGCUCUUGAGGAUAUCCUCAUUGGCCUGAAAAAUGAGCCAUACCGACGAGCUGAUGCAGUAAGGAGAAGCCAGAGGAAACGUAAUGAAAAUGUGAGACUCUCCCGUACUUUGGAUGACAUGGAAUUUUAAGCAUUUUAUGCAAAGAAAAAAAAAUUAUUGCAAUAUCUUUCCAAGUUUCAAAAUCUUCUGUCAAGUCUUAUUAUGACUGGGUAGUGCAGUGUCUUUUUCUUUUUUUGAUAAGAGAAAAGUGAUUUAGAGAAUGAUAUAAACAUUCACUUCACCUUUGGGAAAGAUUGUUGCUUCCAGUGAUACCACUUUUUUUUCAAAUUUAAAGUGUUUUUCUCAGAAACUGAUUCAGAGGAAGGUGUGAUGCAUGCAAAACACUUUGAUAGACAUGGACUUGACUUGCAAAUGUUUGUUCACCACAGGACAAAGGUAUAAAGCAUUCCAGCUAAAAUUAGUUGCUACUUACAUAAUUUUUAAUGGAUUGCCCAUCCAUGAUGACUGAAGUCUCAUUAUAUUAGUCCUACAGAAAAAAGAUAAAGCAUUAAAGAUAUAAAAAAAAGUCUUCAGAGAUCAUGUAAUGCCAGAAUUUCUGUUUAGAUAUUUGUUUAUAGAUUUUCUUUUAAGUUUUGGUAUUAUUAUCUUCUGCUAUAACAAAUAUGUAGUUAAUGAGUGACAAUCAAGAAGUUCAGCAUAAGAAACAAAAUUUGAAAAUAUUUUAUUAGAUGCCUGUAUUAGAUUUAUAUGAGUGGAUCCUUUUAGGUUAAAAAUCAUAUAUAUAUAUAUAUAUAUGUUAAUUUUUGUAGCUAAUACAAAAGAGGAAAUAUAAAAGAGAAUGAGGAUGGUCCAAUACAUUGAGAAUAUUUCAGAGGAUGGAUUGAUAAGUACUUUUGCCUUGUUAUUUAGGACUGGAGUGAUGGUCUGAGCAGUGGCUGAAUCUCUGCAUUGUGCCUCGGUACGGUAUGCCUUCCAGCAGUAGAAAGUGCGUGGUUUAGAGAUGGCUGAAUCUACGUUUAAACUUUGUGAGGUUUUUGUCAUGUCAUAGGCACAACGACAACUUUUAUGGAGUUGUAAAGUCAUUUUUUUAGGAAAGAAAAAUAUUGUUGGUGG
rnacentral:misc_RNA from 1 species